rnacentral:rRNA from 1 species
AUCCGAUGGGGUAUUGUUGCCUUGUCGAGGAGCUUCCCGGAAACGAAAGUCUUUCGGUUCCUGGGGUAGUAUGGUUGCAAAGCUGAAACUUAAAGAAAUUGACGGAAUGGCACCACCAGGAGUGGAGCCUGCGGCUUAAUUUGACUCAACACGGGAAAACUCACCCGGUCCGGACACCGUAAGGAUUGACAGAUUGAAAGCUCUUUCUCGAUUUGGUGGUUGGUGGUGCAUGGCCGUUCUUAGUUGGUGGAGCGAUUUGUCUGGUUUAUUCCGAUAACGAGCGAGACUCUAGCCUGCUAAAUAGUGACUAGAUUUUUAUGUCUAGUUCACUKCUUAGAGGGAUAAGCGGUGUUUAGCCGCACGAGAUUGAGCGAUAACAGGUCUGUGAUGCCCUUAGAUGUCCGGGGCUGCACGCGCGCUACAAUGGAAGAAUCAGCUGGCCUAUCCAUUGCCGAAAGGUAUUGGUAAACCGUUGAAACUCUUCCGUGACCGGGAUAGGGAAUUGUAAUUAUUUCCCUUGAACGAGGAAUUCCUAGUAAGUGUGAGUCAUCAGCUCACGCUG